CAACGUCCUCAGGCAAAUGCAGAGAAGAAACAAACCAAUCAUAUCGCUCGACCACCGAGGCGACCAACUCAUGAAAAGACAUCUUGGAAUGUCCUUGACCUCAAGAAAGAGAAUUACUUCUCCUGUGCCGUUGGAAGAACUCAGACAAAUGCUCGCUACACACUCGGAUCAUCAGAUGAUGUUGUUUCAUUUCUCAAGGAACUAGCAGCUGCAUCUUCUUCUAACUCUUCAUUCUCAGUAUGAUGUUGUUCUACUUUGAGUUGGUUUUUAGAGGGAAAAGAAGGAAAGUAAAAAACUUAUAAGUCAUCUCAAAAGUGUAUUUCCAUGAUUCAAGUCUUUCCCUUCCUUCCACUACUCUCCAAAAAACAACUCGCAAACCAACCAUAGGAUUGUAAGCUAUUAUACAGUUGAAACAUAAAGAAUGUAGGCUUUUUAUUUCCAUAGUUGCCUGUACAUGUUCAUGGUUGAUGUAGUUAAGUUUACUUUCUCUUCUGAAAAGAGGAUAUCCACCCUUUCUGGAUUUGUCUCUAGCAGAAUAAUUUCCUAAUAAAGCAUAGACAGUCUUGGAAGGCUAUGCCAUUAGCAAUGUUUUCCUAACUUAAACCUUGAUACUCACAAUAAGUUUAGCAAAAAGAAGAGAAGUAUUAGAGAUGAACUUGACGUGCUGCCACAAUUUUUGAAUUGAAAGGAUAGGACUUGGUUAAGUUAAUAAAUUCAAUGUUUGUAUCUUAAGCCACACUUGACAAAACUCCAAACUCAAUUGGUACUCAUAUCAUUACUUUUUGGUGUCCAUUUUCUAUUAGUCCUUCUUUCUUUUUUGUUUUUUUACUUAGUGGUUUCAGUACAUGUUUUUGUGUUGCAGCUGUGGUGUAAGAUUAUUUUAAAGCCAUACGUUUUCAAUUCAAUAAUAUACAUUUUCUAUCCCAAAUUUAUUGUGUUUUGUCUGUUACUCAACAAUAACUGUACUAUAUAUAUUAUCUUAAACUUAAAUAAAUUGUGAAUGUUAUAUUAGACAAUUGACUAUUUAUUCUCAAACGUGUGUAAACAUAUAUAAAUUAUUUAACUACAAAAAAAGAGAACGUAGACUAGAUAUUUCAAUAUUUAUGUAAAAUCAUUUAAUUAAUAUAUGAGAUGCUCUUCAUUUCUUAAGUAUUGCAACAUGCAAGGGAUACCCCUCAAUUAUGACGGACGCUAUUAUGACGUCAUAAUAUAUGUUUAAUAUUGGAUUCUCAAACACCAUUCCUAAAGAUAAUAUAUUUAAGGUUCAAAUAAUUGCUCCUUUCAAUAAAAACAAGGAGUUAGACUAUAAAAUUAAAUAGGAAAAAACGUAUACACACUAUAUGAAUUUUUCACAUUAUUAUCAUAUCAUUUAUCUUUAAUCUUUAUUAAUUAUUAGCGUGUUGAUAUACACUAUCGUGCCUUGUCAAACUGUAUUUGUUACUUAAUAGUCAAAUUGAUGUGAAUUGAAAGAGUGUUCAUAUUCCUUUCAUGCAAGAACAACUAUUAUGUAGUCAAAUUUGCUAUGCCUGCAGGAUCUACUUGCUUUAUUUGAUAUCUAUCAGAUUGCUAUUCUACAUGACUUAAUGAAUUAUGUUAUGUAUACAGGAUCGCUCUCUUGAUUUCCAUGCUCUAUGUGCUUUAUAUGCUAUCACAGGUAUCUAUACCCUAAGUGCUUUUAGAUUUUUGUUAUCUUUGACUGAGGUUUCCUGUGAAUAAUUUUUGAUGUAAACUUGCCAUUUGCAAAGUUGUAAUGCAUAAUAUCUAAAACGGAAAAUGCUUGUUUCCUUUUAGGGUCUUCACUGAAAAUGUGGUACACAUUCUUCUUGGAAUGGGCUGCAAACUUUGAUUGAAUUCAAUUAAAGAUGGGAAAAUUAUCAUAUAAUACUAUUUUUCUGAAUAUUAUUUCUUUUACUGAUUUUUAUAGAUGUUAAUCAUCUAUCCAUUGUUGUUUUCAACGUAAAUAUGUAUUUCUUGUGAAACAAAGUCAGGUUUUGAGAUAUAUAUUGGAACCAUAUAUUCUGGGAAAGGACUGGAAGUAUGUCCAGUAUUUCGCUGAAUUUUUAAUUGUCUGUUUAUAGCUAAUCUCUAGUUUUUUAUUGUAAAUUUUGUGGUAAUGGUGUAUUGAUACUUUGUUUCUUACCCAGACAUUGCACUUGUCACAUCCUUGAGGGACGGCAUGAAUCUUGUCAGUUAUGAAUUUGUGGCAUGUCAAGAUAAGAAGAAAGGGGUUCUCAUUCUUAGUGAAGUAAUUACAGAAACUUAUUCGUGUGUUUAUCUUUUCUUUUAAUUGCUCAAUUCAGGCUAUGCUAAUUAAUGUCGAUAAUUGUUUAGCAGAUAUAGGUUUGGAAGUUAAAGGGUUGAAAUCUCUAGCCUCCUACAUUUCUACUUUUUCAGGUUAUCAUACAUGUGAUAAACUGACAAAAGUUUCAUGAACACCCUUUCCAUUGGCCCCUCCUGAAAAAAAUUAUCUAAAAAAUGGGAAAGUGCUGCUGUUUUUAGUAUUUUUUUAGACUUUUGGAAAUAAUAUUUCAACUAGGGAUAAUUAUGAUGCAUACACCCAUGAAAAAGUUCAAGGCUUCAAACUUUAUUAUGCUGUGUCUGUUUCACAUCCUUUUGAAGGCCAUUUUUGAAUUACGGCAUCAUUUUUUAUCAUAUACUUUUGUUUUCUUCCUUCCUGCAACAUGACUCGUUUUUAAAUCAGUAACUACUUUUUCCUGCAACGUUUGACAAGUAUUGUCCAAAAUACCCGUGCUAUGUGACACCCGUUACCCAGCACCAUUUGUUGCAACUCUCUGCUCUUUGCAUAAAAUUUUACAAUCUAAAGUAGUUUUAUAUCUGACAUUUAGUAUUCUUCUUGUAGUUUGCUGGUGCUGCUCAGUCUCUUGGUGCUGGUGCAAUUCUGGUCAACCCCUGGAACAUCACUGAAGUUGCUGCUGCAAUCGCCAAAGCCCUGAAUAUGCCAUCUGCCGAAAGGGAGAAGCGACAUAGGCAUAACUUUCAUCAUGUAAAAACCCACACUGCUCAAGAAUGGGCAGAAAUUUUUGUAAGGUAUACAUACUAGACUAUACUUAAAUACGUUGGUUACUUGUUUGAUGCAUUUUUAGAAAUAGUAGAAACACAUCCAGAUGCCUGAUUUAAACCAAAAUAUGUUAUCAAAACAUAGAUCUCUUGCUUUAAUUUUUUAGAUCCAAAUGCCAUGAUGAACCUUAUCUUUAAAUACUUGCAGUGAGCUAAAUGAUACUGUUGUUGAGGCACAGUUAAGGACAAAACAAGUUCCACCCCGCCUGCCAACCAAGACUGCAAUUGAACGUUAUCUGCAAUCAACUAAUCGGUUGCUUAUUUUGGUAUGCUGUCUUACCAUGAAACUUAUCUCUAUCUUAUUUGAAUACUGAUCUUUCAGGAAGCCUUUUAAAACUUCAUGUAUUAUAGAUAGUUAGAUACUAAACUAUAAAAAUUAUAUGAAAAUUCAGAAGCUAGAGCUCUGAUUAAAAAACAAAUAUCAGAAAAUGUAUAGCUUCAGCUGUAGGAAGAAAAGAAAGGCAGGAAAAAUAUGAGAAGCAAUGCUUUCUCUGGCUUCCUUAAACUACCCAAAUGAUGACACACCCCUCACACCACCCUCAAUUCCCUUCAUACUCAGUACUCACGCCCCUUUCCACGAUUCUAGCACCAUUUUCUCCAAUCUCUUGCUGCCAAGGACAUUCAGUUACAGUUUUUCAUAACUGACUCCUUCACUGUACUUGCCAUCUCAUUUUCUAUAUUUUUUGUUGACAAUAUCUCUUGACACUGGUGAUACGUGCUACAGGGAUUCAAUGGAACUUUAACUGAACCUGUUGAAAGAAAAGGUGACCAGUAUAAAGAAAUGGAACCCACUGUGCAUCCAGAACUCAAACAGCCGUUGAUUGAACUUUGCCAUGACCCAAAGACCACUGUUGUUGUGCUUAGUGGAAGUGGCAGAACGGUUCUAGAUGAAGUAAUUAUCGGUGCAUUGCUGCAUUCUUUUUGAACUACUUGACAAACUUAUUAACAUAUUGCUAUUUCAGAACUUCAAAGAAUAUGACAUGUGGCUGGCAGCAGAGAAUGGGAUGUUUUUAAACCCUUCAAAAGGAGAAUGGAUGACAACAAUGCCAGAGCAGCUAAAUAUGGAGUGGGUUGACAGUGUGAAGGUCCUCAUUUUGAUGUUCAUAUUCUUUUUUAUAGCCCCUCUUUCAUGAUAUUGACUUACAUUGGUAAUCAUGUUCUUUCAGCAUGUUUUUGAGUAUUUCACAGAAAGAACACCUAGGUCGCAUUUUGAAGAAAGGGAUGCUUCACUUGUGUGGAAUUACAAACAUGCAGGUGCAUGACUAGUGCUUAGGGAGACUUUUUUUUGUGUUCUUCCUGCAGUAUUUCCGAUUACUGAUCCUCUCACCAUGAUCAUAGAUGUUGAGUUUGGAAGACUUCAAGCAAGGGACAUGCUGCAGCAUCUCUGGACGGGUCCAAUUUCUAAUGCACCUGUUGAAGUUGUUCAAGGGAGCAGAUCUGUUGAGGUGCGGGCUGCUGGUGUUACCAAGGUGAGUUCUUGUUUCUAAUGAUUCGCUUUUCUUGUUUAUGUUUACAACUAAAGAUUUUCUAAUGAUUCAAAUGUCUACACCAAUUAUUUACUUAAUCAGGGAGCAGGCAUUGACCGUAUCCUGGGUGAGAUAAUCCACAAUAAAUCCAUGACAACACCAAUCGAUUAUGUUCUGUGCGUAGGACAUUUUCUGACAAAGGUAAAUUAAAUUUUCAAUUUUUGAUAUGGACAUAUAGCAUUUUAUACUUAUGGUUAGUUUUCUGGUUGGCCACAUUUUUUAUUUUAACAUUUGUCUACUUGAUGAUAAAAUGUUAACAUUACCAUCUUACAGAUGUAAAGCAAAGUGUUGAAGUUAAAAUUAUUCAUUUGCUUCUAUUAGUAAAGAUGCAUGUGAAUAUUUACGUUUAAUGCCAUCCACUACUAGCUCAUCUUCCGCAUCUGAUUUCUAGUUGAAUCUAUUAAAAGGUUGAUGCUGAGAUUCAGGGUGGUUUUUACAACAUUUUUGUCAUUCACAUCAUGUCUUGAACUCUGGUGCUCUAAUCGAAACGAGAAACUAAGUUUGUUCAGUUUAUAUUCCUCUAUUCUCUUCUCCUAUAUCUAUUUUACACUAAUUGUAAUGAACAUGUGUUGUUCCUUAACGGAAUAAUGAAUACUAUGGAGCAGUUGAAUUUAACAUCAUUGUGUGCAGCAGGAUGAAGAUAUAUAUGCCUUUUUUGAACCAGAGCUUCCUUCUGCUGGUGUGAGUCUUCCUCGUAAUAAGGUAACAGAAGGAGCUAAGUUCACUGCUGAGAGGAUAUCAUCUGUGAAGACACCAACACAUAAAAAUGGUCUAAAGUCGUUGCAAAAUAAGGCGCAACGUCCUCAGGCAAAUGCAGAGAAGAAACAAACCAAUCAUAUCGCUCGACCACCGAGGCGACCAACUCAUGAAAAGACAUCUUGGAAUGUCCUUGACCUCAAGAAAGAGAAUUACUUCUCCUGUGCCGUUGGAAGAACUCAGACAAAUGCUCGCUACACACUCGGAUCAUCAGAUGAUGUUGUUUCAUUUCUCAAGGAACUAGCAGCUGCAUCUUCUUCUAACUCUUCAUUCUCAGUAUGAUGUUGUUCUACUUUGAGUUGGUUUUUAGAGGGAAAAGAAGGAAAGUAAAAAACUUAUAAGUCAUCUCAAAAGUGUAUUUCCAUGAUUCAAGUCUUUCCCUUCCUUCCACUACUCUCCAAAAAACAACUCGCAAACCAACCAUAGGAUUGUAAGCUAUUAUACAGUUGAAACAUAAAGAAUGUAGGCUUUUUAUUUCCAUAGUUGCCUGUACAUGUUCAUGGUUGAUGUAGUUAAGUUUACUUUCUCUUCUGAAAAGAGGAUAUCCACCCUUUCUGGAUUUGUCUCUAGCAGAAUAAUUUCCUAAUAAAGCAUAGACAGUCUUGGAAGGCUAUGCCAUUAGCAAUGUUUUCCUAACUUAAACCUUGAUACUCACAAUAAGUUUAGCAAAAAGAAGAGAAGUAUUAGAGAUGAACUUGACGUGCUGCCACAAUUUUUGAAUUGAAAGGAUAGGACUUGGUUAAGUUAAUAAAUUCAAUGUUUGUAUCUUAAGCCACACUUGACAAAACUCCAAACUCAAUUGGUACUCAUAUCAUUACUUUUUGGUGUCCAUUUUCUAUUAGUCCUUCUUUCUUUUUUGUUUUUUUACUUAGUGGUUUCAGUACAUGUUUUUGUGUUGCAGCUGUGGUGUAAGAUUAUUUUAAAGCCAUACGUUUUCAAUUCAAUAAUAUACAUUUUCUAUCCCAAAUUUAUUGUGUUUUGUCUGUUACUCAACAAUAACUG
rnacentral:lncRNA from 1 species